CAGGGAUUGCCUCAGUAACGGCGAGUGAAGCGGCAACAGCUCAAAUUUGAAAGCUGGCUCCUUUGGGGCCCGCAUUGUAAUUUGUAGAGGAUGCUUCGGGCGCGGCUCCGGUCUAAGUUCUCUGGAACGAGACGUCAUAGAGGGUGAGAAUCCCGUAUGUGACCGGCGGCCUGUGCCCAUGUGAAGCUCCUUCGACGAGUCGAGUUGUUUGGGAAUGCAGCUCAAAAUGGGUGGUGUACUCCAUCUAAAGCUAAAUAUUGGCCAGAGACCGAUAGCGCACAAGUAGAGUGAUCGAAAGAUGAAAAGCACUUUGGAAAGAGAGUUAAACAGUACGUGAAAUUGUUGAAAGGGAAGCGCUUGCAAUCAGACUUGCGCGGCGUCGAUCAGCCUGGGUUCUCCCUGGUGCACUCGGCGCCGCUCAGGCCAGCAUCAGUUUCAGCGGUGGGAUAAAGGCCUAGGGAACGUGGGUCGCCUCGGCGACCGUUAUAGCCCUAGGUGCAAUGCUGCCUGCUGGGACUGAAGACCGCGCUUCGGCUAGGAUGCUGGCGUAAUGGUUGUAAGCGACCCGUCUUGAAACACGGACCAAGGAGUCUAACAUUUAUGCGAGUGUUUGGGUGUUAAACCCAUACNCGUAAUGAAAGUGAACGGAGGUGAGAACCCUUUAGGGUGCAUCAUCGACCGAUCCUGAUGUCUUCGGAUGGAUUUGAGUAANAACAUAACUGUUGGGACCCNAAANAUGGUGAACUAUGCCUAGAUAGGGUGAAGCCANAANAAACUCUGGUGGAGGCUCGCAGCGGUUCUGACAUGCAAAUCGAUCGUUAAAUCUGGGUAUAGGGGCG
rnacentral:rRNA from 1 species